rnacentral:rRNA from 1 species
AUGCAGUUGAUCUUGAGUGAUAGCACCGUGAUUAACAUUAAUGGGAAUUUGGGGUAUUCUAGCGGGAUGCGACAUGGGUGUACUGUUUCCUGGGUAGCAUUUCCCCUUCUCUUUAACCUUCAGAUGGACGCCCUCGUGGCCAUCCUGGAUAAGACUAGGAUGCUCGGCCACAUCUCAGGUGUAGUUGGGUAUAUUGUUAAUGUAGGUGGUGUAACCCACCUCUAGUAUGCCGAUGACACAAUGAUCAUGGUAGAGGGGUUGGAACUACAUCAACCUCAAGUUCCUUCACCUCUUCUUUGA